AGGGAUUACUGUGCUGAGGCAGGAGCAGGGCACGAGGGUCUCGUGGUAGGGUUGAUUCUGGAAACCAGGAUGCCUGAGGGGUGUGUGAGCAUCUCGUAGCCUGCAGCGAUUCCUCUUGCUGAGGAAAGCAGAACCAGAUGUGGAGAGUUUUUCCUUUUUUUCCCACUGCAGUCCUGUAUAAAGACCUCGCUGUUUGGAGUGGGUGGCUGAGCUGCACUUCACAGACUUGGAACUGUCUUUAUAGAGACUGCGCAGGAAGGGCGGAAGAAUAAAUACACGACUCCAUCCAAACACCUUUCAUGUCUUGGCUGUGAUGUGGGCAAACAUGAAGCUGUUGUAAUAAAUCAA